rnacentral:rRNA from 1 species
ACUCCUACGGGAGGCAGCAGUGGGGAAUAUUGGACAAUGGGCGCAAGCCUGAUCCAGCCAUGCCGCGUGAGUGAUGAAGGCCCUAGGGUUGUAAAGCUCUUUCACCGGUGAAGAUAAUGACGGUAACCGGAGAAGAAGCCCCGGCUAACUUCGUGCCAGCAGCCGCGGUAAUCCGAAGGGGGCUAGCGUUGUUCGGAUUUACUGGGCGUAAAGCGCACGUAGGCGGACUAUUAAGUCAGGGGUGAAAUCCCGGGGCUCAACCCCGGAACUGCCUUUGAUACUGGUAGUCUUGAGUUCGAGAGAGGUGAGUGGAAUUCCGAGUGUAGAGGUGAAAUUCGUAGAUAUUCGGAGGAACACCAGUGGCGAAGGCGGCUCACUGGCUCGAUACUGACGCUGAGGUGCGAAAGCGUGGGGAGCAAACAGGAUUAGAAACCCGAGUAGUCCCAUG